rnacentral:piRNA from 1 species
UAAAAGGUAUAUUGCUUGACUUUUUAAUG